GUACACUCUCACACACCACUUUGAGGAGUGAAACAUGCAUCUUGACAUCUCACCUAGAUACACAACUUAGGACAGUUUGUUCUGAGCAGCGGCUGCAAUCUCAGCACUUAGAUCGUGUCUGCACAAUACUGCUGACUUCCCUCAAUAAACCUGCCUUCAAACAAGAUACAGAACUGAGUGCUCAACUACUUGUUUGACCAUUAAAGAUCUCACUGACCCUCUAUCAAAUAGUGACACGAGUCCCAGUGUUUUGAUUAAAUUCCAUCUUUGCUAAAA